UGGAUGCUCAUAGUCAUCUAUCGGAUGG
rnacentral:piRNA from 1 species